rnacentral:tRNA from 1 species
GGGUAGUUACCAGAGUGGCCAAAUGGGGCAGACUGUAAAUCUGCUGGCUAUGCCUACGGUGGUUCGAAUCCAUCACUACCCA